rnacentral:RNase_P_RNA from 1 species
GCAGGAGCGCCGGGCGGUCGCUGCCGGGGACCGGGCAACCGGAUCGCCGGGGGAGGAAAGUCCGAACUCCGCAGGGCAGUGUGCCGGAUAACGUCCGGGACGCGGGCGUAAAGGCCCGUGGACGGCUAGUGCCACAGAAAACAAACCGCCUCGGCUACCCCUCGUUCGCGAGGGCAUCCCCGGACCGGCAUGCCGGCCCGGUGCAGGGGUAAGGGUGAAAAGGUGCGGUAAGAGCGCACCGCCGGCGCGGUAACGCGGCGGGCAGGGUAAACCCCACACGGAGCAAGACCAAAUAGGGAGGGAUGCGCGGGCCGGGAGCCGGGCUUGCGCAGCGUAUCGGCCCGAUACGCCCAGGCAGCUCCAGCAAUCGCCGAAACCUCCGGGUAGGUCGCUGAUGAGUGUCCGCGGUGACGCGGCGCCUAGAGGAAUGACCGCACUACGACAGAAUUCGGCUUACAGGCCUCUUGCCGAA